rnacentral:lncRNA from 10 species
GAGCAGUUGCCCCAAGCUGAGAAUAAGGCAGUGUCCUGCUUCUUGUACACUGACACCCCUGCUUUACAACCAGGGUGAUGAGUGAUAGCAGUGGAUUCUAGUGUUCUGGUUUGCCUCACCCAAAGUGGAAGCUCCCCCUGAUGAUUAAGCUGAGAUGAGGAGUAUUACGUACUCAAUUAUCUCCGCCGGCUGCACCUGGUAUAGAGCCUAAACCCUGUGAUGAAGAAUGGCUAUAGUAGCAGGCCCCUGACCUCUAACCUCACAUGCCUAGUAUUUAGCCUCUGAAACACUAAACUGGGUUUGUGGAGUGGAUGAGAAAUUCUGGAGGCUUCUUAAACCCACAAGUAUAUUGUUGCUCUUGAUUAGGAGAUAGGGGAACAGGUAAUUUUGUAAGCCACAGUCACUUUAAAUUCUCAGUUCUCAGUCUCUGAAAUCCAGUCACCAAAAUUGUGUCCAUAUUUUUGUGUGUGCUAAUUUUAGUUUUGCAGGGAAACACAGUCACCUAGUAGCAUGUGUCUCAGAUUGGAAAAAUGCAAACACAUGCUAAAAAGAACCUUGCUCCCAGAAAAGACGAAGAAAACCCAGAAACUGAAAAAUCUCUAAGAGUGUCUGGGUGCCUAGCACAAUUUCUGUUUUGUAGAUCACUCCUGGUAAGUAAAAUGGGAUUUUUUUUUUCACUUCAAAAUUUGAUGAGGAUAAAAGAAAUUCUACUCUCUCCAUCUUACCACUCACUGAUUAUUCUCUCUUCUUUGCUUCCAGGAUCCUGUGUGAUGUCCUUGCUUAUUCUGUAGUGAGGAGUUGUAGUAAGGAACUCAGGUAGAAGAACUCAGAUCUUUGGAUGAUAGGCACAGAUUGGUGAGAUAGAGUGUAGUGUCUGGGUAGCUACUGAAUCUGGGGAAUGCAAUCUACUCAUUAAUACUUUAUAUAAAACAAUGGGAAAAGAAAUAGAAUAAGGCAUCGAAUGAGAUUUUUCCCGUUAGCAGGAGAGCCUAGCAGGAAGGUUCUUAGUCCUGAAAACUGCCAUGUGAAAACUCCAAACCAUGAGUGGACAACACUCAAGGGGGAAUGAGUGAAUAAAAAAUGAUGUAGGUUCUUCAGGAAUCAUUUACAUAAAUGCCAACGGCCACUUACAGACUGAAAACAUUUGAGAGGUUGUUUGAAAAGUGUGUGAUUAAGUAUUUAGGCUGUGCUCCCAUUUUCAGGAAUGCUGUGUAUGUGUGUGGUGUCCUACUCAGGAGAGUGGCAAUCACAUGUAAUUAGGUGUGAUUGAAACCUCUAAGAGUGGAGUAACACAUGACAUGUACUACAUAUGCAAUGAUAUUGCAGAUAUUUAGUUGCAUGCAGUGGUAUGCUUUUCUUAGCACAUAGAUAGUCCAUCUGGUACCCUCCUCAAUACUAAACUAGCUGGGGAGUUUCUAGAUAAACUUCUGAAGACAAGACAUAGGAAAUAAAGGUUUUGGGAAAAAGUGUUUCACUGAUUUCUUAGGGGCUUCAUAUCCUUCUUUACAAACUUGCAAGACUAAAAUGGGAAAAAAGCCUUUUAGUAUGGUCAUGGUGUUCCUAUCUGCCUGUGAAUUUUUUUUUUUUUUGAUAACCCUUACCUGCGGGGUCCAUCCCACAGACCCUGGCCAAGCAACGGAUGAAAGGAGUACUCAGCCACAGGCAUGCAGUGUAAGAGCAGCUACAGGAAUGCCCAGCACUAAUGGCUGAAGAGUGAGCAGUCUCGAACAGCUGGAGCUGCUUGCUUUUAUUCAGUACAGACAAAAUAAUGAAAGCCUGGAGCCAACACAAUCUGUGGGUAAUUAACAUUAUUAUUCCCCCUUUCAGGGAGCAGUCUCCUGCCCUGAUGAUCAAAGUCGGUUUCCGGACAAUGUAAGUAAACAAGCCUGUUUAUGCCAAAUUCCCCUAUACUUCCUUACCUACCCCUUGCCCUCUGCCUCAGGGUAAGAGAACAGCUGCCUUCAGCUUAUUCAUCCCUGAAGCUAUCCAGAGCCUUCCCGCCUUUCAGAAGGUCUGUUCCUUUCCCUAUACCUUCUCCUACCACUCUGACCGAUCUCCCGCGUCUCCCCCUUUUCUGUUUUUAGCAUCGGGUUUUGUUGAUUGAAUAGUACAGAUGUGUGCAGUGACAGAUUUGACAGGCGCAGCGGUUACAGCUCGUGUUCCGGCUUUGCAUCCUAGAAUUAGUAAAUAACAUAAGUCAAACAUUAGUAUAGUCACUAUUAUUCUUUUCCAAUCAAGGAGAGAUAUGUAGUGUUACUUGGCACCUCAGUUCAAUGUGUGCCAUUAUUAAGGAACCCCACUGGGGGCAUGUCAACCCCUCCCAGCUAAGCAGUUACAUUAUUAGAGGAUGGGAAGGGGGUGUCUGCCAAGGUAACAGGUUGGAAGAAAGGCAGAUCUUAGAAGAUGGGCCCAAUAGAAUGUAGCAGGUAUGAGUUGCAGGCAAAGUGAGAGAAUAAGAAAGGUGAAUACCCUAUGAGAGUUGCAAGGUACAAUAGAGAGCAUAGCAAGGAACAGAUUAUCUGGAGUGAUGGUGUCUGUGUCCAGAGAAGGAUUCACUCGGCCUCCUGAGUUGUCUUCUUCAGCUUCCCCCAGGUAAUGUCUGGGGCCUGUGUCAUCGGAGGAAGCCACAUCGUCUGGGGCUGCGGGUCCUGCAGCGUCGUUUCCUUUAUUUUUGAUACCAGCUUGGGUCUUAGCCACGCCAUGGUAUGGUUUGAUGUGUCUGUCACACUGGAAUACAAAGAGGACCUGAGGGCGUGUGAACACAAGCAUAUUCUCUUCCCCAGGUCAGCAAAUCAUUUGGACCACACCAUAGAUUACUAUUAACUUCUUUCCAUAAAACCAUGGGUUUUAUGUCUUGAGGGGCUUUUGCAAAAUGCUUUUCUAUGGCUGAUUGAAAUUUAUCUAAAUUAAAAAAAUUAAGGGUAAAUAAGGCUUAUGCUAGUAGUGUUGCAGCAUCCUUACUCAUAUUCCCCCUUGUUUUCUGAGCAUAUUUUUAAGGGUGGAAUGGGCAUGUUCUACUAUGACUUGUCCUUGGGAUUUGUACGGGAUGCCUGUGGAUGUCACAUAUUGGACAUCCAUGUGUGACAAAAUUGGUGAAAUUGUGAGCUGGUGUAAGCUGGACCAUUAGUAGUUUUAAUUUUUGUGGGCCGCCCCAUAAACGCAAAACUUAAGAGAAUAUGUUUAAUGACAUACUGGGCAAACUCUCCGGGAAGAGCAUGAGUGCUAAUUAGGUGGGAAUUGGUAUCAAUGGAUAUAUGUACAUAUUUUAGUUUUCCAAAUUCAGGGAUGUGCGUAACGUCUGUUUGCCAUAACUGAUUAGGUUCUAGUCCUCUAGGGUUAACACGUGUUGAUGGAGGGGACAUGCCUCUGAGCUGGCCUUUCAUUAAUGAUAGCUGGUAUUGUAAAUGCAAAUUUUUCUCUGUCCUGUUUUGCAAGGGGAAUAGUGUAAAAGCAGUCUUUAAAGUCAAUAAAACAGUCUUUUGAGUCAAUAUGGGCCAACCUUGAGGAAUCACCAUGGGGGAAGGGAUCCCCUGUUGAAGGGGCCCCAUAGGUUGCAAAUUAGCAUUGAUGGCAGGUAAGUCAUGCAAAAGUUUCCAUCUAGCAGACCUUUUGGGAAUGAUGAAAAUGAGUGAUUCCAAGGGCCGUUUGACGGUUCUAUAUGGCUGGCUUUUAAUUGUUCUUCAACUAAUUCAUGGGCUGUUUGUGAUUUCUCUCCCUUUAAAGGCCACUGUUCAACCCAAAUAGGAUCUUGAAAGAGCCAUGUCAGGGGUCGGGGAAGAAUAACAACAGUGGCCAUUAUUAGAAAGGGGCCAUAUGGAAGUUGUUUGCUAUGGCCUCGAUUAAUCCUCGUGUAAAUGGGCUAGCGGCUCUGUUUUCUCUAAUGCUUUUUUGUUAUUUCUUUAUAAGUGUUGAAACUAAUGGAUUCACGUACCCAGUUGCCUUGUUGAUCUUGCAUCACCGGGCAGGCCAAGAGUUCCCCUUCUAAUGCCACUUGCCUAGGACUGUAGUGUAUCCUUUGUCUUUUUUGCAAUUUAUUGGGGUGGGGGCGGGGGGUGCUCAGGGAAAAUCUGUGUCUCCUCUCUGGCAGCUUUACCUGGUAAUAGUGGGGCUGAGGGAGGAGGAGGAGGCGGUAAGGUAGGUGAUGGUUCCUCCUCCUCCCUUCCCUUUUUAGGCUCUUCUGUGCAGAGAGGGGCCAAAGCAGCCCUGACUAAGGCCCAUAAUGUUAAAGAUGUUACUGGGACCCGUUGCCCUUGUGCAUGAUGUUGUUUAUGAUUUCCCCCAACUUGUUCCCAGAGCUCUACAUCUAGUGUGCCUUCUUCCAGGAACCAUGGGUUAUGGGAAGCAGCAGUUUGCAUUAGGUCCCUUAACUGAGCCUGUGAAACCAAGGCUCUGCUAGCUUUAAGCAGCAGUUUCAAUACUUUUAUAUACUGUUGAGCUGAUAACUGUUGUCCCAUGAUGAAACCCUAGCUUGAAAAUUCCCUCGAACUUGGAAAUCCCGAGGGGGCACCAAUGACUUACUGACUGCACAGUCUCUUCACCUUCGUUUUCGAGGGUUCUGUCGCAGUCCGUUGCAGCGUUCCUCACACAGGGCACCAGCUGCCGGGUCCAUCCUGCAGACCCUGGCCAAGCGACGGAUGAAAGGAGUACUCAGACACAGGUAUGCAGUCUAAGAGCAGCCAGGGACUGCCCUAAUGGCUGAAGAGUGAGCAGUCUCGAACAGUUGGAGCUGCUUGCUUUUAUUCAGUACAGACAAAAUAAUGAAAGCCUGGAGCCAACACAGUCUGUGGGUAAUUAACAUUGUUCCCAGUUUCAGGGAGCAGUCUCCUGCCCUGAUGAUCAAAGGUCGGUUCCAGACAACAUAAGUAAACCAGCCUGUUUAUGCCAAAUUCCCCUACACUUCCUUGUACCAACUCCUUGCCCUCUGCCUCAGGGUAAGAGAACAGCUGCCUUCAGCUUAUUCAUUCCUGAAGCUAUACAGAGCCUUCUGAUCUUUCAGAAGGCCUGCUCCUUUCCCUAUACCUUCUCCCACAACUCUGACUGAUCUCCCACCACUCUGACUGAUCUCCCACACUUACCUUACCCCAGACUCCAAAUGUGAUAAAACGUUCUCACAUAUUAGCUCCUCUCACCAUUUUCAAGGCUUUUUCAUUAGGCCUUCUCAAAUACCCUCCUAAAUCUCUUACCAUAAUGAAUUUCAAAUGUUUUACUCUCAUUUAUUGAAGGCCUUUCUUUUAUUCACUGACCUAG